AUUGAACGCUGGCGGCAGGCCUAACACAUGCAAGUCGAGCGAGCGGCGGACGGGUGAGUAAUGUAUGGGGACUGCCCGAUAGAGGGGGAUAACUACUGGAAACGGUGGCUAAUACCGCAGACUGUCGGAUAACCCAUAUGGGAUUAGCUAGUAGGUAAGGUAAUGGCGUACCUAGGCGACUAUCCCUUUUUGGUCUGAGAGGAUGAUCAGCCCCACUGGGACUGAGACACGGCCCAGACUCCUACGGAGGCAGCAGUGGGGAAUAUUGCACAAGGGGCGCAAGCCUGAUGCAGCCAUGCCGCGUGGAUGAAGAAGGCCCUAGGGUUGUAAAGUACUUUCAGUCGGGAGGCGUUACCGACAGAAGUAGCACCGGCUAACUCCGUGCCAGCAGCCGCGGUCCUUC
rnacentral:rRNA from 1 species